UAUUUGAUUUGUUCUAUUUGCCCGACAAAUAAUGCCAAAAAUUCGGCUCUGGCCGAGGGAAGUCCAAAAAAGAGGUAAUGUUGAAGGUAUGGUACGUGGAAGAGCGUGUGUCUUAUCGGUGUUGAUUGCGUCACGGAUCCCAUCCAGUUGGGGAAAUGCACCUGGGAGUGAGUCGUUUGUGUGUGUCACGGUACCGUGAACUUCCUCAGCCAGGUUAGUUCUGUUGACAUCAUCAUGUGCUUCGGGCAUUCAUGCGGGGUAUCAGUUCACGAGAGAUAAGAGCACCGUGGAUUUUUUGUUUAGUUAAGAAGUGAACGUCACAUACGGAACUCAAUGCACACACACCGAAGUGAUUUCCUCGGAAAAUUGGAGAGAGAGAGUCUCCUCCUUUAAUACCUCCAGCACGAAUCGCAGUGUUUCAGUUAAAAAGCGCGCGGCACACGGCGAAAGUAUCACAAAUUCACCGGCAUCCCACGUAGUCAAUAUAUCAAGAGUGACAGACUGUACAGGAGAUAAAAGUGUCACAGACAUCAUGAAAUCCUCCACCAUCUUCCUGCUCCUGAUCCUCCUUUCAGUUGGACUCGUUUCGGAGGCUAGACGGGUAAUUUUCUACCGGCCUGAUUUGAAUUUUGGAAUAAACGGUGCCCAGAUUUUUGUUGGACCAGAUAAGCCAAAGUGUGGCCAGAAUACCAUGCUGGACAAACAUGGACGAUGUCGCGUAGUGAACAUAUUCAAGUGAUCCACAAGAACACCAAAAAUUUACCCAAGAAGUUCCCCUGAAUCAUCUCUUUUUUAUGGCUGUGAUACACUCAUACAAAUCCAUCUAUCUAAAAACUGACGUCAGUAUGAGAUUGUAUAUCUUGCUGGGGAGUGACUGGAAAAAGGCUACGUUACUAAACUGAUUUUUCGCACUACAAAACCUCCAACGACACGUCGAUUUAAUUAGUUGCUGCUUGGACGAGGAGGAGCGUUGCUCUUUGGGUUUUUUUGGGGAACGGAAGUUUCUUGUGAUUUGAGCAGUGUUUUUUUUCUGAAGUGGACUUAAGUGAAUUCUAAUUGCUGAUCUUCCUGAAAGUACCAUCAGGAAAAUCAUGAAAUUUCUGAGAGUUCUGGUGGCAGUCCUUGUGGCUGUUCUUCUGCUGACAUCAGUUGCUGAUGCCAAGCGCUUCCGGAGGUACCAUCGUAAGAAGUACAGCAUCUGGAGUGAUAAGAUCUGUGGCAAGAAUAUGCGUCCUGAUGGUUUUGGUGGAUGCAAACCAGACUUUAGACCGCCAAGGCAAUUAAUCAGACACCCCUGAAAACCCUCUCAAGGCUUAUCAGUGACAAUGGAUAGCCCAUGGAGACAAUUCUGGAGAAAUCAAUUUUGCAUGCAAUUUCGUAAGUUCCUGGACACCACAUUUUCCAUCCCACAAUCCCACCCACAAACUGCAUUUGCCUUUCCUCCCCAAAAAGCUGGGAAGAAUCCAAAUGUAAGCAGAUUAAAUGUUUUGGCAUAGGAGAGAUUUUGAAAUAAAAGUUCUCUGAAUACA